CCAUUCUGUUUUCAAAUCCAUAAACUUAAAAAAUUGAGACCCACACUCUGACCUAUGCUACCAGUGCACAGAACUCCUACCCGCCCCCUCUUCAGUCUUCACCCCCACUUACCCCAAAACCCAACUUUACCAAACCAGAGUUCUUCACUUCCCUUCGUAGCCUCAACACCUCUAAUGUCCUCCACUCAAUCCUCACCCAACUGCGCCGAUGCCACCGAUUUCUUCCUCCCUCCUCGUCCCUGAAACCGAACUCAUAACAGGUUGUACCUCCUUCCUCCGUCCUCGGCGCCGAAACCGAACCCAGCAUUAAAUUCCGUUGGUGCUUUGUUGAAGAGACGAACCUCGAUACUGUUGCUGUUGUGUGUAUCUCAACCCAAUCCUUGCCCCCUGAAAGUUCUAAUCACCAUCGUUCCUUGUGGGACUCCGAUCAACAUUGUAAGUUCUUUCGAUGGUUGGACAAGAACACAUGCCCUUGUGGCUGUGAAACAACACCAAUUGUGUGGGAAAGGUUUAGAAGGCUGGUAGCUGAGGCUGAGGCUGCUAGAAAUGAGAAGGAUGAUGUCCGUGCAAUGGAAGCAGAAGCACGGAAGUGGGAAAGGAUAGCAAAGCGCAGGGCUGAAAAAUCUAAGCUCGCACUCCAGAUUGCUGAAGAGAAAGUGUGCAAGUAUAGGGGAGCUUUAAUUAUGUCCUAGAUUGUACUUGGGGUGUAUUUUUUUUUUUUCUACAGUGUUUGGGGCCCAUGGAUAGACGCAACUGUGCUUGCCAUGAGUUUAUUUGCGGUCACGUUCACAAUGUUUGACGCUAUUUCCAUGCCAUGUUUUAUUAAGCUAUAUAUUUAACAGUUGUUGGAUAGGGUACUGUUUUGGACAUUUCAUAGUAUGCAGUUAAGUAAUGGCAAUAUUUUUUUUUUAUAGUAAUGGCAAUAUCUGGAUAUAAUGUUG